rnacentral:misc_RNA from 1 species
AACGCACAUUGCGCCCCUCGGUAUUCCGGGGGGCAUGCCUGUUCGAGCGUCAUUACACCCCUCAAGCGUAGCUUGGUACUGGGUCCUCGUCCCCGCGACGUGCCCGAAAAGCAGUGGCGGUCCGGUGGGACUUUAAGCGUAGUAAAUCUUAUCCCGCUUUGAAAGUUCGCCCGGCGACCGGCCAGAUAACCCCAUUUAUUCAAUGAUUGACCUCGGAUCAGGUAGGGAUACCCGCUGAACUUAA